UACGAAGGGGGCUAGCGUUGCUCGGAAUUACUGGGCGUAAAGGGCGCGUAGGCGGCCAGUUUAGUCAGAGGUAAAAGCCCAGGGCUCAACCUUGGAACUGCCUUUGAUACUGGCUGUCUUGAGUUCGGGAGAGGUGAGUGGAAUGCCGAGUGUAGAGGUGAAAUUCGUAGAUAUUCGGCGGAACACCAGUGGCGAAGGCGACUCACUGGCCCGGUACUGACGCUGAGGUGCGAAAGCGUGGGGAGCAAACAGG
rnacentral:rRNA from 1 species